CCUUUUGCAAAGCUGGGCUAAGCGGCUUAUAUUGAAAGGGUCAGGCAACUGACUAUGACGAUAAACGUUGUAUGGAAUAAGCGUUUCGGACCCGGGGGCGGUACCCGGCGCCUCCACCAUUACUUCUAGGGGGGCGAAAUAGGAUCGACGAGCGUAGUAAAGAUACGA
rnacentral:tmRNA from 1 species